GCCGAGCAGCCUCGCAACAUGUGCUACUUUUAGUUGAGCAUCAUUUCAGAUUGGGCACCGCCUCAUAUCGAGUAUCAGUUCUAGACGACAUCUAGUUACUUCAGCCUACACAUGGACUACAUUUCAAGUUUUCAGCCAAAAGACUCUCUUGACUGAAGACUUAGAGGACUACUGUUUAUACCAUAUUUAGGGCCUCGUAUUUAGACCUCGUAUAAAUACUUGAGGGACUUAAAUGUAAUUAUGUAAUAAAGGAAUGGGCAAAUAUGUAAUAAGUGAGGAGUCCUUAUUCUAUAAAAGGACCUCUUACCCUCACAAUUAGGGGGAGGCCAAUUCCUAAGGCUCCUCACCCCUCUCAAAGCUCUCACUCUCAGAGCUCUCUCUCCCUCACUUCUCAGAGAAAUAUAAUACAAUCAGUGUAGACGUAGGCCAAACUUUGAGGUGAACCACGAUACAUCUUGUGUUAUUUACAUUUCAUGCAGAUUCAAAGUCGGAUUUACGUUGUACCAAGACCUCCGGUUUUGUGCAUCAACAAACUGGAUACAACAAAUUGGAGAUGCAAUUCUGGCUUUCCAGGAAGGAUCUUCUACAAAUUAAAAAGUUUAGUUGUUUUCUGCCAAUCAGGUUCUUUUACAAUAAUUAAGAUAUUUGAAACAUGAAAAUAUUCCCCAUGAUGCAUGAACCCCUACAUUUAUGUUUUCCUUCUUAUA
rnacentral:lncRNA from 1 species